rnacentral:misc_RNA from 2 species
CAACCAUCAAGCCCUGGGCUUGUGUUGGGGACCUGCGGCUGCCGCAGGCCCUGAAAUGCAGUGGCGGGCUCGCAAGACACACCGAGCGUAGUAGCUUACAACCUCGCUUUGGGAGUGCUGCGGGUGCUGGCCGUAAAGCGACCUUUGCGUCUUUAGCACUA